UAGAGUUUGAUCCUGGCUCAGGACGAACGCUGGCGGCGUGCCUAACACAUGCAAGUGGAGCGACGAACCAGGGCUUGCCCUGGGGCGAAGCCGCGAACGGGUGAGUAACACGUGGGUAACCUGCCCCGAUGACCGGGACAACCCGAGGAAACUCGGGCUAAUACCGGAUGUGGUGUACACACGCAAGUGUGUCCACCAAAGGAAGCUUCGGCCUCCACAUUGGGAUGGGCCCGCGGCCCAUUAGCUUGUUGGUGGGGUAAAGGCCUACCAAGGCAACGAUGGGUAGCUGGUCUGAGAGGACGAUCAGCCACACUGGGACUGAGACACGGCCCAGACUCCUACGGGAGGCAGCAGUGGGGAAUCUUGCGCAAUGCGCGAAAGCGUGACGCAGCAACGCCGCGUGAGGGAAGACGGCCUUCGGGUUGUAAACCUCUUUCAGGAGGGACGAAGGUCCGCCCGCGAAUAGCGAGGCGGAUUGACGGUACCUCCAGAAGAAGCCCCGGCUAACUACGUGCCAGCAGCCGCGGUAAUACGUAGGGGGCAAGCGUUGUCCGGAAUCAUUGGGCGUAAAGCGCGCGUAGGCGGCCCGGUAAGUCCGCUGUAAAAGUCAAAGGCUCAACCUUUGAACGCCGGUGGAUACUGUCGGGCUAGAGUCCGGAAGAGGCGAGUGGAAUUCCUGGUGUAGCGGUGGAAUGCGCAGAUAUCAGGAGGAACACCAAUAGCGAAGGCAGCUCGCUGGGACGGUACUGACGCUGAGGCGCGAAAGCGUGGGGAGCGAACAGGAUUAGAUACCCUGGUAGUCCACGCCGUAACGAUGGGCACUAGGUGUGGGGAGGUGUCGACUCCUCCCGUGCCGUCGCUAACGCACUAAGUGCCCCGCCUGGGGAGUACGGCCGC
rnacentral:rRNA from 1 species